rnacentral:sRNA from 1 species
CCCUGUUCGAGCGAAUGAAACCGUUGCCUUCAAGGACGUGGAGCGACGUUGUGACGCUUGGAC